UACGUAGGGUGCGAGCGUUGUCCGGAAUUAUUGGGCGUAAAGAGCUCGUAGGCGGCUUGUCGCGUCGGAUGUGAAAACCCGGGGCUCAACUCCGGGCCUGCAUUCGAUACGGGCGGACUAGAGUUCGGUAGGGGAGACUGGAAUUCCUGGUGUAGCGGUGAAAUGCGCAGAUAUCAGGAGGAACACCGGUGGCGAAGGCGGGUCUCUGGGCCGAUACUGACGCUGAGGAGCGAAAGCGUGGGGAGCGAACAGG
rnacentral:rRNA from 1 species